GCCAGAGACUGGCAGGGAGCCCUGUCUAAACUGAACCAGAUCACUGAACCUACCUCCCCGUACUCUGUUUCUGACUGCCUCGGCUCACCUUGCCCUGGGGCAGCUGGAGCCUGCCAUCCAGGCUUUAGACCAGACCAUAGCCAAGGAUGAGCGACUUGCAGUUGGCUUUUUCCAAAGAGCUGGAACACUCAUAAUGGCUAGCAGGCUGGAGGAGGCUCUGAAUUACUGUAUCUCGGCUCAGAAACACAUGAGAGGGAACGUGGUCAUUGACUACAGACAGCUGGGGCUACGCUACAAGCUCUACAACUUACA